AUGGUCAGGCUAUGGAGUCCAUUCCCUCCACUCCAGUGUUGAAAAAUCCUCAUGAAACUCUCAGUCUUUCCUGUAGAGGAUCUGGUUUCAAUUUUGGCAGCUAUGGCAUGCACUGGAUCAGACAACCUUGUGCAAGGACGUAUAGAAAUCACCAAAGACAACAGCAACAGCAUGACAUAUCUGAGACUGUCUAAUCUAAAGCCAGAGGACUCUGCUGUGUAUUACUGUGCGACAAACACACAGUGGUUUCUGACAUGA